rnacentral:rRNA from 1 species
AGCGAACGCUGGCGGCAGGCUUAACACAUGCAAGUCGAACGGUCCUUCGGGAUAGUGGCGGACGGGUGAGUAACACGUGGGAACGUACCCUUAGGUUCGGAACAACACAGGGAAACUUGUGCUAAUACCGGAUAAGCCCUUCGGGGGAAAGAUUUAUCGCCUUUGGAGCGGCCCGCGUCUGGUUAGCUUGUUGGUGAGGUAAUGGCUCACCAAGGCUACGAUCAGUAGCUGGUCUGAGAGGAUGGCCAGCCACACUGGGACUGAGACACGGACCAGACACCUACGGGAGGCAGCAGUGGGGAGUCUUGCGCAAUGGGCGAAAGCCUGACGCAGCCAUGCCGCGUGGAUGAUGAAGGUCUUAGGAUUGUAAGAUCCUUUCACCGGGGACGAUAAUGACGGUACCCGGAGAAGAAGCCCCGGCUAACUUCGUGCCAGCCGCCGCUGUAA